rnacentral:SRP_RNA from 9 species
GGGGUUGGUUUGUGGACGUGAGGUCUUGCCAACUCGGUCAGGUCCGGAAGGAAGCAGCCGUCGUAAGAUCCUUGCGGGUCACUAUAUCGCCAGCCCCUCA